rnacentral:misc_RNA from 1 species
CGCCUGCCCCGCCGGCCACGCGCUCUACACCGCCGGCAGCGGCGGCGAAGUGCGCGCGUGGAGGCUGGUCAGCGAGCCCUGAGCGACACAGGUGCACACACAAACACACAUAAACACACACACAUACACACACAAACACACUUAGCUGCAUAAACACCGCCGACGAUCACGCUUUACUCUUACGAUCGGUACUUACAACAAAAUUAUUCUCACCAGCGUAACGGACGCGUCCGCUGUUGGCGCGUGCGGCCGAGC